GGGGGAAGGAGGGAAUUCAGCUUUUUCUGACACCCUAUUAAAUCUAAUUUCCUUACCUUCCUCAUAGUUUGCCCACCUGAUCCUGGAUGAUGGGAUGCGCUAAGGGGCAAGCCAGUCUGCUUUCCAUUGGAGCAUCUUCCUCCAAAGAUGAGGGUGGAGGGGAGUAACACAACAGGGGAACUUUCAGGAAAUACAGGAUGUGAAAAAGAUACAGAAGGAGGUGCAGAGCCCUAGCUGGCCUGAGGGAAGAGAAGCCCUCACUGGACUUUCCCCAGGGGUGUUGGCUUCCAGGUUUUUCAGCUUAUCUCCUCCCUGGAUGUCUGUAUAAACCAGAUGAUGGCUACCUUAAUACCUUAAGAAAAACUGAAUUCACAGAGGAUUUAAGGGGUACACUCUUGCUGACUGAGAGUGGGGGAUUCCACCUCCCAAUACCCACUCCCAGGAAUUAUCCUUCUUGGGCCACCAUCCAGCAACUCUCCACCAAACACCCCCCUUUUCUGUUCACGACUCCAGCGUUCCAGACUUAAGCCUGCAGCUGCUGAGAGCUACCAAGCUGAGGAAGGCUGCCUGAGAGUGAGUCCCAACGGGGGAAAGCAGAGCUGGAAGUCAGGAGAGACCAAGUCCCGAUGACAUCAUUGGCGCUGUUGAAUCCAGAUGGGCUUUAUGUCUCUAGAGCCCUGGAUGUGGAUUUUUUUUUAGUUACAUAAAUCGGGAAACUACUCCCUCCGCCCCGAUCUUUUUUGUUGUUGGAAACUACUCCCUCCGCUCCGAUCUUUUUUGU